CUGGGUGAUACUUUCUGUGUCGGACAACACUGGCACAGCGGCUUUCCUUGGCUUUGAUACGGAGGUGCCUAAACUGACCCACAGAUUGUGGAGGUAGGUGUUAAUGCUCAGGUUUACACUGACAUGCCUCGAUCACUGGCUGAUAGUGUUGGGAAUACCUAUAUCUUUCAGCUCAGAAUGAAAGACUCCAACUUCACUGCAAACCACCAAACCUUUACCAUUUCCCGCAUAGUUCCUGCACGAGAGCUUGCACCUAUGCCAACGUUUGCUGUGAGUGUUCGUCACUUAUCCUAAUGUAAUUAGCUGUUUAUAAAAAUAAAUGGUCAGUCUUGGUUAUGUUCAUAACAGGAAGGUGUAAAGGUCCCUGAGGCAGCGCUUCCUGGAGCUGUGGCACCAGGAUCAGAUGUCAGAGAUGUUAACACUUGCAAAGUUGCAGAGCAAGCAACUACACCUGAUGGUUCACUUUCCGGACGUUUACCAGCAGCGAAAGAACAAGUUGAUCUGGAAGAGAAUGCCCCCAAGAAAGCACGUGUGGGAUGAGUCCCCUGUUCCGAGGCCAUGCAGUCUUCAUUAGUAGUCCUUUCCUAAGCUCCCUAUAUAUCCAGCAUAGGCUUUCAUCAUCUGAAUACGCAAACUUCUUCGGUGUCUUGACGUCUUCAUGGACAUAAAAUCUGGCAUACAUAUUUCAGUGAGAGGUUUUGAGUAUCAAAAACAUUCCAUGUGAGUUAUACUAUCAAGUUUCAGUUUAAGCUUCCACCAUAAUAGGCAUUUACUUCUUAUUCAUCUAUACAUACAAACACUAAAAAAAAUUACAGGAAAAAAUAAUUAUUGCAUUGCUUGCAUUAGUAACAAUCUUUAGAGAUAGGCUCAGCAGGAGUCAGAAAUGCCUUUACUUGACGUACAGGUCUGAGGUUUCCUAACCGAAUUGCGUAAUGUUCCAUUAUACAUGCACCAUAAAAUCCCUUCAUAUGUCAGGCCUCUAAAUUCUUUAUCACCAAAAUCCAAUAUGCACCAGAAAGUAAUAUUUUGAAAGUUCAUAUAUCUACAGGCAAUUCUCACGUGUCCCUGACCCCCAACUAAGAACUAUAUUAUAACGCUCCUACCAUCCAGUUCAUUUCGUAACUACGUAUAUAGAAAAUACAGUCUAUAUCAAUAUAUCACCCAACGUCUACAGAAAAAAAUAAAAAUAAAAAUGAUUAAACAAAUAUAAGUUAAAUUCUACUAGUUUAAAAACUAAGCACCCUAAGAAAACUUUAAAAUAAAUAGUACAAAUAACGUUGCUUAAUUAAAACAUAAGAUUCC